rnacentral:rRNA from 1 species
AUGCGCCGGCACGUUUUGAUUUCACGGCAGAUACCUUGGAUUGUCAUGUCGGAUGGCUCGUUCUUCACACCUUCGAACGCUAUUUGCACCUCGCCUCCCCGUCUCCUCACCUUGCCCAACAACACAACAUGCAUUGCCUCCACGGACGAUUGGCUCGCCCUUGACUUCACCGACGCCAAGAAGAUGCAUAGCUACUCGUUGCACAAUCCGUUCACUGGCAUCACCGUGUCGAUUCCUGAGUUGGAUGUUGUCAUAGGCGAUGUUUCCGAGCUUUUCAAGGUCCGUAAAGUGCUCAUGCGGUCAACGCCUUCGGACAUCGUUGCUGUCAUGACCAAUAACUGGAAUCACCCCCUCAUCUUAAUUCGUCCAGGGAAAGGUGCGUGGUUGCCUAAGCCACAAAGUGCUCCUUUCAUCGACAUUGUUGACAUUGCUUUUCUUGGAGAUAAAUUAUAUGGAAUCACUGAGGCAGAGGACCGUAUUUCUCUCGGUAUAGAAUUUUGUAGUGAUGGCAUACCCACCGUUACUAGCACUGAGUGCCUCAUUAGGCACCCACCGGAAAAUUCAAGUUGCAGUGUGUGGCGCGAUGUUGACGAUAACUUUGAUUCCAGCAACAGUGAUAAGGGUUGUAAAGAUGUGGUCACAAAUAGUUUUGAGGACCAUACCGAGGCAGUGAGCGAGGAUUCUGAGGAGCGCGCCUUAGAUGAACUUCGAAAGAAAAUUGGCGAUGGCAUAAUUCUCGAGGGCGCUACAUGUUGGUUAGAUGAUGAGGUUCCAUAUGAACCCAAGGAUAUCAUAACCCUCAUUCAAUACCUGAUUGAGUCACAUGGGAAACUGCUCAUGAUGAAGAGACAAUUGCAUUGGCCUCCAUAUAGUAUCAACUUCACUAGCAAAGUGGAGGUUUAUGAGAUGGAUGUCAACGAUGACGUACACUGGGUUCCAGUUUCAGGUGGGCUAGGCGGCAAAGCACUUUUCAUCAGCAGAUUCUUCUGCAAGUCCAUUCAUACCUGUGAAGACGGGGACCGUGAUGCUCUUCAUUUUAUCGAUAGUGGUGAAAAAUACGAUAUGAAAUCCCAAAUUGUGAGCCCGAGCUGGAGAGACAUUGAUCUCCAUAGGUCCAUGUGGAUAUUUUCUCCGGAGCUAGUGGUUUGA